rnacentral:rRNA from 2 species
GUGCGAGACCGAUAGCGAACAAGUACCGUGAGGGAAAGAUGAAAAGAACUUUGAAAAGAGAGUUAAAGAGUACCUGAAACUGCUGAAAGGGAAGCGAAUCGUAUCCAGUGUCUAUAAUCUGCGGCAUAUUUCAUUGGCGGCGGUGCGCGUGCUUUUGCGUCGGAAGCGGCUUUUGUUGCUCUGUGCUUUUGCUGUGCGUGGUGUUGCUGGUGCCCUGUGUUGCGGUGGGACGUCAGAGUCAGUUUGUAUGCUGCGGGAAAUGGCUGCCGAGGAGGUAGGUCGAGAUUUCGGUCUUGGCUGUUAUAUCUUGGUGGNUUUGUUGUCGUGGUUGAGACUGAGGUGCCUAC